UUGACCUCGGAUCAGGUAGGGAUACCCGCUGAACUUAAGCAUAUCAAUAAGCGGAGGAAAAGAAACCAACAGGGAUUGCCUCAGUAACGGCGAGUGAGCG
rnacentral:rRNA from 1 species